AGCGAACGCUGGCGGCAUGCUUAACACAUGCAAGUCGAGCGAGAAAAUGGCUUCGGCCAUGAGUACAGCGGCGGACGGGUGAGUAAUACAUGGAUAAUCUGCCUUUAGGACUGGGACAACCCAGGGAAACUUGGGCUAAUACCGGAUAAGACCACAGAAUCUCCGGAUUCAGUGGUAAAAGGUGGCUUCGGCUAUCACCUAUAGAUGAGUCCAUGUCCCAUCAGGUAGUUGGUGAGGUAACGGCCCACCAAGCCUAAGACGGGUAGCCGACCUUAGCGGGUGAUCGGCCACACGGGGACUGAGACACGGCCCCGACUCCUACGGGAGGCAGCAGUGGGGAAUAUUGGACAAUGGGCGCAAGCCUGAUCCAGCAAUGCCGCGUGAGGGAUGAAGGCUUUCGAGUCGUAAACCUCUGUCAGUUGGAACGAUGGGUUUGUAGGUUAAUACCCUGCAGACUUGACGGUACCUUCAAAGGAAGCCCCGGCUAACUCCGUGCCAGCCGCCGCCGUAACAC
rnacentral:rRNA from 1 species